GGGCCGUUAGCUCAGUCGGUAGAGCAACUGACUUUUAAUCAGUGGGUCGCAGGUUCGAAUCCUGCACGGCUCA
rnacentral:tRNA from 1 species